GCUUGUUUCGGCAGCCCAUAUACUAAAAUUGGAAUGAUACAGAGAUUAGCAAGGAUGACAUGCAAAUUCGUGAAGUGUUUCAUAUUUUU
rfam:Myotis brandtii contig245496, whole genome shotgun sequence.